rnacentral:rRNA from 1 species
UACGUAGGGGGCGAGCGUUGUUCGGAAUUAUUGGGCGUAAAGCGCGUGUAGGCGGUUCGGUAAGUCGGGGGUUAAACCCCAGGGCUCAACCCUGGGCCGGCAUCCGCGACUGCCGGGCUGGAGUGCGGGAGGGGAGAGCGGAAUUCCUGGUGUAGCGGUGAAAUGCGUAGAUAUCAGGAGGAACACCGGUGGCGAAGGCGGCUCUCUGGACCGUAACUGACGCUGAGACGCGAAAGCUAGGGGAGCAAACAGG